GAUGAACGCUAGCGGCAGGCCUAACACAUGCAAGUCGAGGGAGAAGCCCUUCGGGGCAGAAACCGGCGCACGGGUGCGUAACGCGUAUGCAACCUACCUUUCACAGGGGGAUAGCCCGAAGAAAUUUGGAUUAAUACCCCAUAAUAUUAUUGGAUGGCAUCAUUUGAUAAUUAAAACUGAGGUGGUGAAAGAUGGGCAUGCGUCCUAUUAGCUAGUUGGAGUGGUAACGGCACCCCAAGGCUACGAUAGGUAGGGGUCCUGAGAGGGAGAUCCCCCACACUGGUACUGAGACAGGGACCAGACUCCUACGGGAGGCAGCAGUGAGGAAUAUUGGUCAAUGGUCGGAAGACUGAACCAGCCAUGCCGCGUGCAGGAAGAAUGCCUUAUGGGUUGUAAACUGCUUUUAUAUGGGAAGAAUAAGGAGUACGUGUACUUNGANGACGGUNCCA
rnacentral:rRNA from 1 species